GACGAACCGUCCAAACGUUAUUCGGAAUCAUUGGGCUUAAAGGGUGCGUAGGCGGUGCGGUAAGUUGGGUGUGAAAUCCCGCGGCUCAACCGAGGAAUGGCGCCCAAAACUGUCGUACUCGAGGGAGACAGGGGUAAGCGGAACUGAUGGUGGAGCGGUGAAAUGCGUUGAUAUCAUCAGGAACACCAGUGGCGAAAGCGGCUUACUGGGUCUCUUCUGACGCUGAGGCACGAAAGCAAGGGGAGCAAACGGG
rnacentral:rRNA from 1 species